rnacentral:rRNA from 1 species
GUCCACGCCGUAAACGAUGGAUACUAGCUGUUUGGUAGCAAUACUGAGUGGCUAAGCGAAAGUGAUAAGUAUCCCACCUGGGGAGUACGUUCGCAAGAAUGAAACUCAAAGGAAUUGACGGGGGCCCGCACAAGCGGUGGAGCAUGUGGUUUAAUUCGAUGAUACGCGAGGAACCUUACCAGGGCUUAAAUGUAGUCUGACAGAUUUGGAAACAGAUUUUUCUUCGGACAGAUUACAAGGUGCUGCAUGGUUGUCGU